rnacentral:rRNA from 1 species
UAUGUGAUCGUCUCUCGCAUAUCAAUAAGCGGAGGAAAAGAAACUAACAAGGAUUCCCCUAGUAACGGCGAGUGAAGCGGGAAGAGCUCAAAUUUGAAAUCUUAAAGGGUUUCCCUUUACGAAUUGUAGUUUAAAGAAGUGUUUUCUGUUGAGGUUUUGGUAAAAGUUCUUUGGAAUAGGACAUCAUAGAGGGUGAGAAUCCCGUAUUUGACCUUUACUUUCAACUUUGUGAUACACUUUCAAAGAGUCGGAUUGUUUGGGAAUGCAGUCCAAAAUGGGUGGUAAAUUUCAUCUAAAGCUAAAUAUUGGCGAGAGACCGAUAGCGAACAAGUACCGUGAGGGAAAGAUGAAAAGAACUUUGAAAAGAGAGUUAAACAGUACGUGAAAUUGUCAAAAGGGAAGCGUUUGACACCAGUGUUGUUUUUCUGAAAAUCAAUUAAAGAACUGUUUAUGCUAAGUUGUUUAGACUUUAUCAGCUAUCUGUUUAGUUUUGAGCUUUUCUUUAAUGCACUUUUCAGUUAACAAGUCAACAUCAAUUUCUUUUGCUGUAAAAAAGCUUGAGGAAGGUGGCUUGAGAUUCGUCUUAAGUGUUUAUAGCCUCUUGCCUAUGCAGUCGGAGAGAUUGAGGUCUGCAGCGUAGAUCCUUCGGGGCUAAAUGCAUUUGUGCUAAGUUAUAGCAUUUUAUAGACAACUUGUUGACUAUGAUUUGUCUUGUAGCUUACUCGCUUAUGUUAUUUUACCUACGCUUAGGAUGUUGACGAGACUGUCGAUCUC